UACGUAGGGGGCAAGCGUUGUUCGGAAUUACUGGGCGUAAAGCGCGCGCAGGCGGCCCGCGAGGUGUCACGUGAAAGCCCCGGGCUCAACCCGGGAGGGUCGUGGCAAACCGGCGGGCUUGAGGCCGGUAGAGGUGGGUGGAACUCCUGGUGGAGUGGUGAAAUGCGUAGAGAUCAGGAAGAACACCCGUGGCGAAGGCGGCCCACUGGGCCGGUACUGACGCUGAGGCGCGAAGGCGUGGGGAGCGAACGGG
rnacentral:rRNA from 1 species